rnacentral:rRNA from 1 species
AUGGAGAUGGCCAUCGACACGCCAUCGCCGUCGCCGUCCGUCUCGCCGGCGCCGUCGGCGGCGGCGGGGCGGCAGACGCGCGCGGCGGAGUCGGUGCGGCUGGAGCACCAGCUGGUGCGUGUGCCCCUGGAGGCCCUCAGGGCCACCGCCCGCACCAACCACCGACUCGCCGAGAAGGAGAUCGCCGCCGUCCUCUCCUCCGCCUCCUCGGCCGCCGCUGCCCCCGGAGAAAGCGGCUCCGCCGCCGCCGUUGACCACCUCACCUCCCUCGUCUCCCGCCUCCACGGCCUCAAGCGCAAGAUGGAGGAGGGUGCGAGGGCGGAGGAGCUCCAGGUGCAGAGGUGUCGUGCCCGGCUGGACCGGCUGGCUGCCGCCAGCGCCGGUGACGACGCCGAGUGGGAGGACAUACGUCUGAAGCGCAUCCUAGUUGAUUACAUGCUCCGGAUGUCCUACUACGACACCGCCACCAAGCUCGCCGAAACCUCUGGCAUUCAGGACCUCGUUGAUAUUGAUGUUUUUCUUGAUGCAAAAAGAGUGAUUGAUUCUCUUCGGAAUAAGGAAAUAGCUCCUGCUUUAGCUUGGUGUGCAGAAAAUAAGUCCCGGUUAAAGAAAUCAAAGAGUAAGCUCGAGUUUUUACUGCGACUUCAGGAGUUUGUGGAACUAGUCAAGGCUAAGAACUUCCUGCAGGCUAUAUCAUAUGCUCGGAAAUACCUUGCUCCCUGGGGGUCUACCCACAUGAAAGAAUUGCAGCGUGUUACAGCAACACUGGUUUUUAGGAGCAGUACAAACUGUGCUCAAUACAAGGUCUUAUUUGAGCAAAAUCAGUGGGAUUCUCUUGUGGAUCAGUUUAAGCAAGAAUUCUACAAACUAUAUGGCAUGACGCUUGAGCCGUUGCUAAACAUCUACCUGCAAGCAGGCCUGACAGCUCUCAAGACUCCAUUCUGCUUCGAGGGCAACUGCCCCAAAGAAGACCCCUUGUCACUGGACGGCUUCCGGAAACUCGCAGAGCCACUGCCCUUCUCAAAGCAGCACCACUCGAAGCUUGUCUGCCACAUAACCAAGGAACUGAUGGACACCGAGAAUCCGCCGCUUGUCCUGCCCAACGGCUACGUGUAUAGCACCAAGGCCCUUGAUGAGAUGGCCAAGAAGAAUGGGGGCAAGAUCAUAUGCCCAAGGACAGGAGAAGAAUGCAACUACACCGACCUCGUCAAGGCUUACAUCUCAUGA